GGUUUACCUGUGUGACUGCGUACCUUUUGUAUAAUGGGUCAGCGACUUAUAUUCUGUAGCAAGGUUAACCGAAUAGGGGAGCCGGAGGGAAACCGAGUCUUAAUUGGGCGUUAAGUUGCAGGGUAUAGACCCGAAACCCGGUGAUCUAGCCAUGGGCAGGUUGAAGGUUGGGUAACACUAACUGGAGGACCGAACCGACUAAUGUUGAAAAAUUAGCGGAUGACCUGUGGCUGGGGGUGAAAGGCCAAUCAAACCGGGAGAUAGCUGGUUCUCCCCGAAAGCUAUUUAGGUAGCGCCUCGUGAAUUCAUCUCCGGGGGUAGAGCACUGUUUCGGCUAGGGGGCCAUCCCGGCUUACCAACCCGAUGCAAACUGCGAAUACCGGAGAAUGUUAUCACGGGAGACACACGGCGGGUGCUAACGUCCGUCGUGAAGAGGGAAACAACCCAGACCGCCAGCUAAGGUCCCAAAGUCAUGGUUAAGUGGGAAACGAUGUGGGAAGGCCCAGACAGCCAGGAUGUUGGCUUAGAAGCAGCCAUCAUUUAAAGAAAGCGUAAUAGCUCACUGGUCGAGUCGGCCUGCGCGGAAGAUGUAACGGGGCUAAACCAUGCACCGAAGCUGCGGCAGCGACACUGUGUGUUGUUGGGUAGGGGAGCGUUCUGUAAGCCUGCGAAGGUGUGUCGUGAGGCAUGCUGGAGGUAUCAGAAGUGCGAAUGCUGACAUAAGUAACGAUAAAGCGGGUGAAAAGCCCGCUCGCCGGAAGACCAAGGGUUCCUGUCCAACGUUAAUCGGGGCAGGGUGAGUCGACCCCUAAGGCGAGGCCGAAAGGCGUAGUCGAUGGGAAACGGGUUAAUAUUCCCGUACUUGGUGUUACUGCGAAGGGGGGACGGAGAAGGCUAUGUUGGCCGGGCGACGGUUGUCCCGGUUUAAGCGUGUAGGUGUGUGUUCCAGGUAAAUCCGGUUCACUUUAACACUGAGGCGUGACGACGAGGCACUACGGUGCUGAAGCAACAAAUGCCCUGCUUCCAGGAAAAGCCUCUAAGCAUCAGGUAACAUCAAAUCGUACCCCAAACCGACACAGGUGGUCAGGUAGAGAAUACCAAGGCGCUUGAGAGAACUCGGGUGAAGGAACUAGGCAAAAUGGUGCCGUAACUUCGGGAGAAGGCACGCUGACACGUAGGUGAAGUGAUUUACUCAUGGAGCUGAAGUCAGUCGAAGAUACCAGCUGGCUGCAACUGUUUAUUAAAAACACAGCACUGUGCAAACACGAAAGUGGACGUAUACGGUGUGACGCCUGCCCGGUGCCGGAAGGUUAAUUGAUGGGGUCAGCGCAAGCGAAGCUCCUGAUCGAAGCCCCGGUAAACGGCGGCCGUAACUAUAACGGUCCUAAGGUAGCGAAAUUCCUUGUCGGGUAAGUUCCGACCUGCACGAAUGGCGUAAUGAUGGCCAGGCUGUCUCCACCCGAGACUCAGUGAAAUUGAACUCGCUGUGAAGAUGCAGUGUACCCGCGGCAAGACGGAAAGACCCCGUGAACCUUUACUAUAGCUUGACACUGAACAUUGAGCCUUGAUGUGUAG
rnacentral:rRNA from 1 species